UGAACGCUGGCGGCAGGCCUAACACAUGCAAGUCGAACGGUAACAGGAAGCAGCUUGCUGCUUCGCUGACGAGUGGCGGACGGGUGAGUAAUGUCUGGGAAGCUGCCUGAUGGAGGGGGAUAACUACUGGAAACGGUAGCUAAUACCGCAUAAUGUCGCAAGACCAAAGAGGGGGACCUUCGGGCCUCUUGCCAUCGGAUGUGCCCAGAUGGGAUUAGCUUGUUGGUGGGGUAACGGCUCACCAAGGCGACGAUCCCUAGCUGGUCUGAGAGGAUGACCAGCCGCACUGGGACUGAGACACGGUCCAGACUCCUACGGGAGGCAGCAGUGGGGAAUAUUGCACAAUGGGCGCAAGCCUGAUGCAGCCAUGCCGCGUGUAUGAAGAAGGCCUUCGGGUUGUAAAGUACUUUCAGCGGGGAGGAAGGGAGUAAAGUUAAUACCUUUGCUCAUUGACGUUACCCGCAGAAGAAGCACCGGCUAACUCCGUG
rnacentral:rRNA from 1 species